UGUUGAGUUAUUUGGUCGGGUUUUUUUGUCGUUUCAGUUAGGGUUUACCCCUUUUCCUUCUUCUUCACCUCUCUAGAACACAGAUGUCGAUUAGGUCUUCGAAAUCAAUCUUCCAUCUUCUUUCUCAAAGUAAUGCAACGUUACGUGUUAUCGGGUUAUCACCUUAAAACCCUCCAUUACUCUCUCACACAUGAUCUACACUCAAUGCGAUUUCAGGAUCUGCAAGGCGGUGGAGGUUCAUCUAUAAAAAGACUGGCUACUCCUCCUCCACUGUUCAAGUCCGUUUGUUAUGUUUUUGGGAGUCUAGGACUGUCCACCAUGGAAGUGGAUAUGCUCCUACUGGACUCUCAGGUGUCAAGGUUACAGCUGUGGUUCCGAGUGGAGCUUCCACUGGUAUCUACGAGACUCUUGAGCUCAGUGAUGGGGGAUCAGACUACCUUGGGAAGGAUGUCUAUAAGGUGAGAAACUAUAUUUUUAGUGAAAGAAUUGUUAUCCGAUUUUUGUCCUAUUUGUUUUUUUUUUUUGAUGUCAACAUGCUGUUGACAACUUCAUGGUCUAUGAACUGAUGGAACCCGAAAUGAGUGGGGUUAAUGCAAUCAAAAUCAAAAGCUUGGAGCCAAUGGUAUCAUUGAUGCGUGCAAACCUGGGGCCAUUUGUCAAUGGCAUUCGUCUCUACAAAGCGAAGAUAGAAGAGCAACAGAAUUACAAUGAAGAAAAAAAGGAUUAUGCAACUACCCAGCAUUAACACAUGCUGGAAACAAGUGACGCUAUCAUUGCGCGUCCCAAUUAUGAAGAGAGCCAGAUACGGGACAAACUUGAUGCUAAUCAUGCCACCCAAAAAAUGUAGCCUUGGAGAUAUUGACAGCCCAUGCACAGUUUGUUUUGUUACAAACAAAUCACGAAGUUCAUGAAGUUCCUUGAACUGAAGUAACUUCAGCAUGCACUACUCAUCACACACUCACUCAGACCACCUACCGUUUUUAGGUUCGUUUAAACUUUUCCUAGUUUCCAGAACAAUGUUCGCAGCAAUCAUUCCUCUGGUUCUAAGUUUAAUACACUCGCAAUUUCUAAUAUUUAUAAAACUAUCUUUUUAUA